rnacentral:rRNA from 1 species
CAGUAGCCGCGGUAAUACGAAGGGGGCUAGCGUUGUUCGGAAUAACUGGGCGUAAGGGGCGCGUAGGCGGAUCUUUAAGUCAGGGGUGAAAUCCCAAGGCUCAACCUUGGAACUGCCUUUGAUACUGGAGAUCUUGAGUCCGGGAGAGGUGAGUGGAACUGCGAGUGUAGAGGUGAAAUUCGUAGAUAUUCGCAAGAACACCAGUGGCGAAGGCAGCUCACUGGCCCGGUACUGACGCUGAGGCGCGAAAGCGUGGGGAGCAAACAGGAUUAGAGACCCCGGUAGUCCCUGUCUCUUAUAC